GCUCACGUAGAUCGCCUGCCGUUUAUAAUACGUUGUAUCGUCAAUUCUGCCAUACGUACGCAUACACAGGACGGAUCGUCGACGUACGUACGGUGUGCUGAGUGAAACGUCGCCAUCGGACCUGUUCUCAAUAACCGGUCACAUUCACCCUUUCGCUACUUAUUACUUGCCACUGAGAAAGCAAUUUCAUAAAAGAGAAAAGUGAUUGUAAAUUAUUCAGAGAAUAUAAAACAUUGUAUUGUUUAGUGUCGUAGCUGAUUUCAAAAUACUACAGAAUGACAAAUAUAACUAAAACGGAAUAACGAAGAACAGCAGAUAUUUAAGAUGUUUAAUUUAAGAAGAACACAAAGAAAACGAAAAGGUACAUGAGCAAAGUUCGUUCAUAGCGAAAGGCUGGAAAAUCUAGGAAAUACGAGACUAGAUAAAGUUUGAGAAAUUGUCCAGGGACGAAGGCGAUGAUUCCUCAGCGCGGAUCCAGUCAACGAUGUUUCGUUGCACUGUGUUUUUGUGUAGUGGGUGUGAGUUGGUCGGUGGAAUCGAUGGAAGAGCCUCUUGUGUUGGUAGACCACCGUCCGCCCUCCCCUCUUUUUUCAGUAGUGUAUAGCUGUCUGACAUGAUUGUGUGCUGCGUGUUUUUCCCCCAUACUGUAUCAUUUUCAUACUUGUUCAUAUGAUAUAAUAUCGCGACUGUUAGCACCAAAGAAAAAACAUAAUAGAAAAAGAAAAAAAGCAUUCUUUUUUCAUGGCGGCCGUGUGGAACUUGUUUUUAACUAAACACGACCAUCCCUCUUUUGGUAUCGUACGUACACUCGCACGAGGACUAUAGAACUGCCUCGACGAGAGAGGCGAUCUUGUCCAGCUUUUUUUAAAAAGCUCUGCCUGGUCGAGCGGAGAUUCUUCCUCCUUGCUGCUUGCGUUUUCUGUUUGUGUUUGUCUCCCCCUCCCCCUCCCCGCAUUGUGUCACUGGCGAAGGAUCUCAGAUCCAGCACCCCGUGAAAAGUCUUCCUUUAGAACGCGUUUACAAGCGUGUAAUACCGUGAUAACCAAUUUUUGUCUUUUUGUUUUUACAGAUUAACCGUAGGAAGAAAUUUCACGGCGUGUUAUUGUCUGAAAACCUCCUACAGUCUCUUCAAUCUCCUAUCAAAAUAUGGUUUCUCCAACCUCUCUCGUGAACGAAUGUGUUUCUCAGCUUUUCUCAGUCUCAUAUGAUUCCUUGCCUUUUCCUAUGCCACCUGCUGCUCGUGGCUGGGUUAUUGUAUCUAAAAUUGCAGGUGGACUUACUUCCCUUUGUUGCUUCACUCUUUACUGAGGAUCUGUACUGUAUGUGUUAGCCUACAGUUGCUGGUGAAAGUGAACGCUUCUUGCAUAAUACUUUUUUCUUUUUUGAGAGUUUGUUUUUUUCCUAUUUUAAAUCGAUAAACUUGGAGACUAGUGGAUAUUAUGUUGAAACAUAAAUCAACAGUAGGAUUUAGAUCCUGCUUAAAUAGUAGGUAGAAGAUUCAAAGCAAGAGUGAAGUAAAAGUAAAGUGAAAGAAAAAUUAUCAUUUGAUUUAUGGAUUACUUGAUUUAUGGCUUUGGAGUCAAGUACACUUGAAUCCUAAAAGAAAGUUCAUGGCAUGUUCACUUCUCUGCAGCUUCAAGGAGACACUGUGUACUUGAAUCAUCAGUUUCUAAGCUGCAAAAGGAAAUAACUUAUCUGAAAGCAAUGAUAACCCUACACAGAUGUGGCAUAUGGCAUUCCUCUGUAUAAAUCCGUUUAAUUUGUUUCUUUGACGCGGUAUGCGAGUGUGCGUGUGCACGAUUGCUCACGUUUGCAUCGAUUUUGUGUUUGCCCAAUCUCUAACACGGUGUUGCGCGCAAGUGGCGUAGAAAGGUUGAGUUUGUUUGGCAAUGGUUUGUGCGUUCUAAACCAGAUAAAAAAAAAAAAAGGGUUUCGUCAAAACAGAAGCUUCUAGUGGCUACAAUUACUAUAAUUAUGAUGUAUUGUAACUGCUAUUAUAAUUGCCGGCAUGUAAAUCGUCCUGAUAUCUCCACGUUCUCAAACGAACGUAUCUCAAAUUCAUCAAACUGGAUUGUGCAUCUUUGACUCUAAUUUUCUAGUGACUAAAUGACUCAAUACCGCACGGUGCGCCCUAUAGUGAACUUGGAAUUCACCAAGGCAAUCUAUUUUGGGAUUCGAUUGCCAGCAGAAUUUGUCUAUUUAAGCAAUAGAAUGGUGCACUAAGGCAUUAUCCCGUUUAUGGUUGACUUCCAAAGUCAGGAAAUAUGCAACUAUUAUCAGAGUUCAAAUACUGAACAUAAAUAGAUUCAUUUUCAGAGCUAUUUUGGGUACAUGUUGAGACUAAAGAAUCAUAAGUCUCGAACAGUCCAGAUUUCUAAUUAAUCUGCUGAUUAUAAAGAUUGUACUGAUAGAGUCAUUAGACUCAAAGGGAUGUAAGAACAUAGAAUAAGCUUAUGGAUUAUUGCUUGUUAUUUAAAACAAGCAAACAACUUUAUAUAUUAAUUCAUAAAGUAAACAAUUUGUAUUUGGUAUCCAGAAGAGAGAGAAACUUGAAUCUGCACAAAAAGAUUCCUUAAAGGAAUCGGUUAAUCGUCAUAAAUGUGGAAUGCAAAGUUAUUUGAGUAGCAUGAUCACAAGAAAUUAGCAUAAAGUCACGACAGUUCACCAGAAUGCUCUCUAAUUUAUAGAACUUUCCUUUCAAUUCUAUCUUCUUCUCUUUCUCUUCCUCUUUCUCUUCAGAAUGUAUACACACUCUUUGCUACACUGUUGUACACUGUGUCUCUUUGUCGCUAUUUUUAUCUUAAUUUUCAAUUCCCUACGCUUGACUCUCUCCUCACGGUCGCGGUUCAAGCGUGUGCUUCAUCAAAACUAGCCUCCAUUGUCCAGCUCUUGGUUCAAGAUUUAUCAUUUCCAAUUGACCACUAGGAAGACGUUUUUAAUAUUUCCAAGACACCAAAUUCCUCAUUCGAAUAAGGAAUUUCAUGCUGUCCCAAAUUGUUUCAGCAACCUGACAUCUUUAUUUUCAUCCUUGAGAAUUUUGAUCCUAUUACUUUGGUUCAGGAUACGUUUAAACCAACGAUCAUUCUGUGAGUAUCAUCCUAAUUUUUGUAUACCAUUGUAACUGGACUUUGGC